UAACCCCUAACGUUUCUUCGCUCUUCUCUCGCCACUCUCACCCUCAAGCUCACUGAGUCUCACCUCUCUCACGGCUGGUCUCGCCGUCGACCUUUCUCUAUCUCUCCGGUAUAUCGCUUCUCUCGCGGGUGUUUCAGACUCAAGGUCAUCGCGCUCUGUUUCCGUCGCUGCUCUGUCACCGUCGCUGCUCUAUCGCGCUCUGUCGCAAGCGAAUCGAUGGAAUUCGACUCGAUCCCAAUCGGUUCCUGCUCCAACGAGAACCAGAGCAUCUACCAGCAGUUGUUUAAAUUACGCUGAUUCAGGUUGAUAAAUUGAAGAGAAAGCUGAGACAUGAAGAGAAUGAACAAAGUCGAAGUGGCUGCGCUAGAACAGAAAAGGCUAGGCAUUGGCGAUGGAUCAGUUGGGAUGUUCUCCUCACUUAUUGUUCGUGCAUGCAGGAAGGUGAUGCAUGGUUUCUAAAUACUCCUGAACAAUCAUUGAGCUUCAUCCUUGCAAAUCAAGGUUUUGAUGUAUGGGUAGGAAAUGUGCGUGGAACAUGCUGGAGCCAUGGUCAUAGGUCUUAUUCAGUGAAGAAUAAGGUGUGUGGCUCUUCUUUGACCUAUAGAGAUGCUGACGGCGUAUGUGAUUAAACUGAAAAUAAUAUCAGUGCAUAAAGUUCAGUGCUAAAUAAUUAUGAGUCAAAACUAAGAACCAAAUGUUCAUUUAUUCUGAAUUUGAAUUGGGGAAAAACAUUUGCAAUUGAUAUGAAUAAGGUCACAC